UCCAGACUCCCAUCAAGCUCUGCUCAGCCAGCCUAGUAUGCUUGGACAAACAAGGUGCACUCGCCAAUUGAUCUGUCAUAUUGUGGUUUUCAAAGAUGAACUGAGAAUGCUCUGAAAGGAGGUUGCUGUUGAAGAGCUGCUGGAAGACCUAGAGUAGGGAAUUACAUUUUCAUUGUGGCUAACUUUCAAUGACACUGAAGAUGUCUCACUUGGAAGAUCAUCAAAUCCAUGUUUUCUCUUCCACUUCAACAGACAAAGCUUCAUUCAUUUGAUGUGGAGACUCUGAAGAAACUAAUUUUCUUUUUGAAAUAAGUGUGAAUUCUUUUUAUCUUGUGAUUUAACAACUCCUGACAAUGCUUACAAUUCACUUCAGAAAAAUUAGCUGUUUUCAUAACUUCAGUCUUUCCAAUCAUUUUUUCCCACUAAGUCUUUUAGUAUUCCCUUUCUCAACCCAGGUUAAUAUACAUGGAAGUUUAAUAAUAACUAUUUCUAAUUUACCUAUUUGUUGUAUUAAUAAAAAGCUUUCCCAUUUACUAAAAUUACCAUAAAAAUAACCACUUCUUGAAUUUAACACUGUAAAGAAUGAAAAUGAGAUGUGCUAAUCAUGUUCUCCAAUGAUUUAUCUUCCAUUAAUUUCUAGCAGAUCAAAUCCAUCCUUGAUUACAUAGUCUUACAUAUUUUCUCCUUUACAAUAUCUAACAUUUAGCUCCAUCCCUGUUCUCCUGUGACUAAGAAUACCAUGCAUUCCCUGUAAGACUUCCAGUUCUGUAACUAUGCUAAUGCUUAGUACAAAGAAGAAGUAUUUUAUAGUUUUAUAACAUGUUUUUGACAAAGAUUUCAUGUACAAAAAGGGAGACAGGAAUAAAAGUGAAGCGAGACCUAA